rnacentral:rRNA from 1 species
ACCUUCCUCUAAGGCUAAAUAUGAUAUAUAAGCGAUAGUGAAAAGUACCGUGAGGUAAAAUUUGAAAUAGUAGUUUUAUAAGCAGCUCGAGUGAAAAUUUAAAUAAGUAAUAAGAGUGUACCUUUUGCAUAAUGGGUCAGCAAGUUAAUUUUAGAUGCAAGCAAUGAUUUCGUGCGCUUUGCGCAUGGAACUAGCUUAGAUAAACCAAUUAUGAGAAAAUGAAUAAGUAUCUAGAAUUAGACCCGAAGGCUAGUGAUCUUACCAUGGUCAGGAUUAUAAAAGUCCGAACGGGUUAUCGUUGUAUAGAUAUCCGAAGAAUUGUGGUAAGUUAGUGAAAGACAAAACUGACUAGUAUAGCUGGUUUUCCGCGAAACCUAUAUGAGUAGGUAAUUUAACUAACAUCUUAGCAGGUACAGAACUGUGAUCUCGGACAAUAUCUUUUGAUUUUGUCAACAUCGGGGGGUUGUAGUGACUUUACCGGAGAGUAUUUGCACUCGGAAUGGCAAAGAUGAAUGUUGAAUAAUCGGACAUAGUGCGAUAAGGUUGUAUGUCUAAAGGGAAACAGCCCAGAACAAGAGUUAAGGUUCCAAAAUUAUUGUUGAGUGAAAUUAAGGAUGUUUUUUUUAAAAACAAUCAGGAAAUAGGCUUAGAAGCGGCCAUUUUUUGAAGACCUCGUAACAGAGCACUGAUUAAUUAAAUUUAGAAAAAAACACCGAAAAUUUAACGGAUCUAAACAAUAUACCGAAACCUUGUACACAUAUUUAUAAUAUUAAUAUUGUAUAUGUGGGGUAGCGGAACAUUGGAUAAAUAUUAAUUAUUAUUUCUUCUAAGAAGUAAUAAGUAUGGAUUAUUAUUAAAAAUAUUUAUUUAUUAAAGAUAUUUAUGUAAUAUUAUUAUACCUAAAAGGUAUAAUGUUUAGAUGAAUAUAUAGAUAGAUUAUAUCUGUCUUUAUUAUUAAUAUAAUCCAUCGAUAUAAUCCAAGAGAGAAUGCUGACAUGAGUAACGAAAAAGGAAUAUCCUCGCCUUAAGCUUAUGGUAUUAUAUUUAAUUUUCGGUAUCUAAAAGUAUUAAUCAAAAGGUAAUUUUGAUGAUAUUUAUAUAUAAAUACUUAAAAAUAAAAAACAAAACCUUUAACAAGUAAUAAAGGUUCUGGAAAAUUUUUUAUUUUUAUUAAGUGAAGUAUAAUGCAAUAUAGGUAUAUUAUAAUUUAUAUAAUUUUCUUGUUACAAGUUUUCAAGAUUGUAUAGAUUUUAUCUAUAUUAAAUAUAUUUUCUUUUUUAUACUAUUGUAUAAGUAAGGUUUAUAUAUACCGUACCUAGAUACUAUCACAAGUAAGCAAGUAGAGAAUACAAAGGCGUUUGAGUGAACAAUCAUUAAGGAACUCGGCAAAUUGACUACCGUAACUUCGGGAUAAGGAGGG